rnacentral:lncRNA from 1 species
CACAGCUGAGGCUACACUGCUAGGAGCACUAAAUGCCUUUUUCCUUCCUCUUGACAUGAGCUUACUUGUAGCUUUGAGGGCUCAUGACAUCUGCAAACUGCCCUCUAUCUGUAUGACUUUUCAUCACCUGCUCCCACAAUCAACUCACUAUGUAUCUUGGUUGUCUUAAGACAAAGAAGUGGCUUAUUCCAGUAUGCGCAUUAUCAUAAUAAUUUGGGCAAAUUCUUGGCAUUAAAACAUCUUAUAAGCCAUUGACCAACUUACAGCCUAAUUUUGGAAUGGAUGUGCACCCCUGACCAAGAGAGUGGAAUCAAUUGUGACUCUCCCACCCCUAGCAGAUGAUUCUAAGGGAAGAGCACCAUAAUUGACCAGCCUAUAAGCACGGCAGUCUCUCUGGCCCCUUUGUGGCAGCCAGCCCACAGAACAAUAAUAAACACCAAAAUGAAACAGGAAUCAGUCCCUAUACCCCCCUGAAAUUCUGAAAGCUUCCUGACUGGGCUUAUAAUCCUGGAGGAAUCUAACCAUUUGUAGCUCAGAUACUUAAGAAAAAUAAGUGUUUUUCAAGUGUCUUAAGAGUCACCCCCAGCCUACUGAAGUAUUCUGUGACCAAAAUGAGACUAGCAUCCAUAUUAAUUCCUUUUCUCAGUUUUUCUUCACUGAAUAGGUGAGUCAAUUUUAAUUAUAUAUAGCAGACACAUUGACCUCUUUCCUUAGCACAGUAUGUACACUAUGUAGCUCAUAUGUCAAGGCUAAAUUAUAUUUCAGAAUUUUUGACUGUUAUUUACCCAUAUGCUUAAAAUUUUUAACAGUGACAAGCCAAAGUUAAUGAUUUUUAACUUAAACAAUAAAAAUUAAAAGAAUAAAUGCAAAUAUAUUUAUAGGCUUUUGCUUUUUUAAAACGAAUACUUGCAACACUGAUUAAAAACACAAAUAGGUGUGCUUUGGUCUUCUUAGUGUAUACUUGUCAGCCCUGAUUCUAUAAAACGGUUCAGCCUCCUUCAUUUUCACCUCAGCAAUCAUAUUAAGCUCCAUGUGUGGAAAGUACUGGUUCAUUAACCUCAUUCUACAUAUAAGCUCAUAAAAGUACACCUUCGAUGUUGGGAAAACAUAAGUCAGCCAAUGUGACUGAAGGUCAAUUUGAAAAGUCACGUGGGGUCAUUUGUGAAUAACACCAAGACAGAAGAUUCCCCAGUGAGGAAAAGGUUGGUGAAGCAUAAAGUAUAGCAUAAUGUAAAGUGCAUGGGCCUGGAGUCAGACUGACUAGCUGGUGACUUUGAGUAAUUUAAAUUUUCUAAGCCUUUGUUUCCUCUUCUAUAAAACAGUGAGUGUUUGUCGACUUUCCAUUAUUGUUACAAAAUAUCUAGACUAAUUAUCUUAAAAAUAGAAAAGUUUUAUUUUGGCUUACAGCUUUAGGGGUUUCAGUCCACACUCAGUUGGCCCCAUGCUCUGGGGCCUGUGGUAAGGCAGCACGUGAGGUGGGAGAGCAUGGUGGGAGAAGCUGAGAUUAGGCCUCACUAUUCCCUUCAAGGGUACACCCUAAAUGACCUUAGACCACGUAGCUACUAGGCCCCACUUCUUAAACUUUCCACCACUUCUCCAUGGUGCCCCACUGGGGAAAAAGCCUUUAAUACAAGAGCCUUGUGGGAACAUCCCAGAUCCAAACUAUAGCAGCCAGUGUCAUAUGUAGUUUUCUGAAAGAGGCUAUGUGCAUAAAGGAACUGCCCUGUGCCUAAGAAGUUCCUUGGUUGUCUUUCUUGCUUUCUUCCUUUUGCAGGGCCUGGGGGUGGGGGUGCAUUCAUUUCCUUUAAAUUCUAAUAGUACCCACAUUCUAAUAUUCUAAUAGUACCAGUAACCAUUUGUAGCUCGGAGACUUAAGAUAAAUAUAUGUUUUCCUAAUAGUACCAGCAUUCAUUUCCUUUAAAUUCUAAUAGUAACCACCUUUUAUUUGGGUAACUACCCACUCCCAGUGCCCCAUACCUUGACCACAGAAAUAGGUUUCUGAUCCAGGCUGUGUAAUUAUUGCUUCCCUUCCUCCUGGUUCUAGGGAUUAGGGGAGGGGAGUGCUGGGGGGGCACUGUGAGGAAAGAAGAACCAGUCUUCCCUCAGGAUUUUAUAAAAAGAUGUUAAGAAACACUCUCUAUUCCUCUGGGCUGCCUGGGCUGGGAUGACAUGGGUUUAGUACUCUUGCAGACAUGCCACACUUCACCCCUGCCCACAGGAAGCACAUCUUGAAAUAGGAAAGAGUAUAUCUGACACACAGAGAAAGCAGCAAAACAGAAAGGGAAGUGUGUGGGGGGGGGCAGGUAUUUGUAUCCCUGGAUCCAGCUCCACUCAGAUUUCCCAGUUAAAUAAGUCAAUAAAUUCCUCUUGUGAGCUUAAGUCAGUUUGGAAUGGAUCUUUACCCUUUGCAUGAAAAGAUUCUUAUCAAAUAAAUACAUGGAAGAAGGAGGAGGAGGAACUGGGGAUGUAGUUCAGUGGUAGAGUUCUUGCCUAGCAUGCAUGAAGUCCUAGGUUCAAUUCUAAUCACCACUAAAAAUAAAAAAUAAAUAAGAAGGAAGAAAAAAAGGAGCAGGACCUAGAAAAAGAACACAGAAACAAUAUCUAAAGGAGUCAUCACAUGUUUAUUCUGGCACACACACACACAAAAAAAUGAAGCCACCAGGUGUCUGCAUUACAGCUGCACUCAAGUGAACCAAAGUGGUGCAACCACUAAAUUAGAGGCAGAUCACCUGCCCAAAGGCAGAAGACAGUAUGGCAUCAUUGCAACUUCCUGUCCAUAGCUUAGUCAGUAGAGGGAGGAACUUGAACUCUGAUCUCGUUUUCCUGGCCAGGAUUAUCCUCUUGCCCCAUGUUAAGAUAGACAGUGGUCAGUGAAGCUGGAGAAAUUGGUAGGAACCACAUUACAGUGGUCUUACUAUGAAUUAAGAAGCUUAGGUUUUAUCCAUUAGGCCAUGAGAGCGAUCAGAAAGUCUUAAGAAGGCGAAUGAAGUGGUCAGAUUUGCAGUUUCGAAACAUUUCUCUGGCCUCAGAAUGAUGCCCAGAUUGGAAGAGGACAGGGCCUUGGAAGCAGAGAGACCAGAGGGGAAUUUUCACAGCAAUCAAGUAAGAUUUGAAUUAAGACAAACCAACAAUGAUAGAGAGUAGAAAGAUGAAUAUUCAGCAGGUCAAAUUUACAAGAUUUGGUGACUGAUUAUAUGGGGUGAGGUAGUGAUAUGGCAGCAGAACAGAAGGAAUCCAGGGAUUCCAGAGAUUACCAAUUGAUUUCAGAGUUCCAGAAAGGUCUGGAGCUAGGAGCAAAGGAAGGGAAAGAGGUCUUAUUAGAACAGGCUUAGUUGGAGAAUCCAUAAGAAUCCCCAGGUAGAGAUGUCCAGUUGGAAAUUAGGGAAUUAGGAUGACUCCGUGAUCACAGGUGUGCUACUUUACCUUAUUAAAGCCUUUGUCUCCUUAUUUGUCAAAUGAGAAUAAUAUUCUUUUCUCAGAGGUUUAACUAACUUGUCUAAGUUUUUCCAACAUACAACAUUAUCCUUAAACAGAAAGGAGUGAUAAGGUCCUAAUCAUUAUAAUGGGUAAGAACACUAUCCUGGGAAGCCUCUGCUCUCUCUAGGCCCCUGUGCUCUAAGUCCUGCUUUGUCCUUGGAAAGCUCACAGACUAGAGUAUCUUAGGCUUUACCCUGAGAAACUCAGCCCAUUUAAGCUUGGGUUCACUUUCUGGCCUUUGCAUCUAUUAUUCUUUCUGUUCUUCCCUGUUCACCUAACAAACUCCUUCUCAUCCUUCAAGGUACUUCUUGUCACCAAUCCUAUGAUCUCUGUCUGCCUCAAACUCCUGGAACAAUCCAAAUGCCAUUUUAUUAAAAAGAUGCUCUUCCUCUAGUCACCAUAUUAUCCCUUAAGUAGUUGAGGUAUGUAGGCCUUGCCUAAAAUGCUGACUGACCCAAGUGAAACAGUCUGAAUUUAAAUACCACUGAAGUGUAUACAGAUUUCAAACCUAUAAUCUCUUAGCUUCAGCCCAUCUUUCAAUGGUCUACCCUGCAGUGCUGGAGCUGGGUGGGACUCUACAAACCAAACGUCUGUUUGGUCAACAGUUUCCUUGUUAGGCUUUGCCAAGAAAUAUUCAAAUCUAGUUCUCAGGGUUUAUUUAUUUUGUUUUGUUUUGUUUUUUCAGCAUGCAUGAAGUCCUGGAUUCAAUCCCAAUUACCACUAAAAAUAAAAAUAAAUAAGGAAGGAAAGAGCGGAUGCAGUGGCGCAUGCCCCUAACCCCAGUGGCUCAGGAGGCUGAGGCAGGAGGAUCAAGAGUUCAAAGUCAGCUUCAGCAACUUAGCAAGGUUCUAAAUCAAUUCAGAGAGACCCUUAUUUAUUUUAUAUUUAAAUAAAAAUAUAAAAAGGGCUGGGGAUGUGGCUCACUCAAUCCUUCAAACAAAAGAAAAGAAGGCCGGCAGGAACAAAGGAGCAAGACCUAGAAAAAAAGCACACAGAAUCAAUAUCCAAAGGAGUCAUCACAUGUUCAUUCCAGCACAAAAAAAAUGAAGCCACCAGGUGUCUGCAUUACACUCAAGUGAACCAAAAUGGUGCCACCACUAAAUCAGAGGCAGAUCACAUGUAGUACUGUUUUUAUUCAUGUGGUGCCUCCUUCCUAGAGGUCUGGUUCCCAAAGCUAUAGAUCCCAUUCUGGAAGUUCAAAAUCAACAGCCCCAGGAAAGCACCAACAGCUCCUUCUCACAGGCCCCUCCCCAUAUUUCUAAGUUUUAAUGAUCCCAACCUUUGUUCUCAGGUUCUGUGGGUGGUGGCUGCUUCCUGCAGUUGCCAUCUC